AUUGAACGCUGGCGGCAGGCCUAACACAUGCAAGUCGAACGAGUGGCGGACGGGUGAGUAAUGUCUGGGAAACUGCCUGAUGGAGGGGGAUAACUACUGGAAACGGUAGCUAAUACCGCAUACCAUCAGAUGUGCCCAGAUGGGAUUAGCUUGUUGGGGGGGUAACGGCCCACCAAGGCGACGAUCCCUAGCUGGUCUGAGAGGAUGACCAGCCACACGGGAACUUAGAGACGGUCCAGACGCCUACGGUAGGGAGCAGUGGGGACUAUUGCACAAUGGGCGCAAGCCUGAUGCAGCCAUGCCGCGUGUAUGAAGAAGGCCAUCGGGUUGGAAAGUACUUUCAGCGGGGAGGCGUUACCCGCAGAAGAAACACCGGCUAACGCCGUGCCAGCCGCCGCGGUAAUUC
rnacentral:rRNA from 1 species